rnacentral:rRNA from 1 species
AACGAACGCUGGCGGCAGGCCUAACACAUGCAAGUCGAGCGCGCCUUUCGGGGUGAGCGGCGGACGGGUUAGUAACGCGUGGGAACGUGCCCUUUUCUAAGGAAUAGCCUCUGGAAACGGAGAGUAAUACCUUAUACGCCCUUCGGGGAAAGAUUUAUCGGAGAAGGAUCGGCCCGCGUUAGAUUAGAUAGUUGGUGGGGUAAUGGCCUACCAAGUCUACGAUCUAUAGCUGGUUUUAGAGGAUGAUCAGCAACACUGGGACUGAGACACGGCCCAGACUCCUACGGGAGGCAGCAGUGGGGAAUCUUGGACAAUGGGGGCAACCCUGAUCCAGCCAUGCCGCGUGAGUGAUGAAGGCCUUAGGGUCGUAAAGCUCUUUCGCCUGUGAAGAUAAUGACGGUAGCAGGUAAAGAACCCCGGUUAACUCCGUGCCAGCGCCGCGGUAA